UACGUAGGGUGCAAGCGUUGUCCGGAAUUAUUGGGCGUAAAGAGCUCGUAGGCGGUUUGUUGCGUCGGCUGUGAAAUCCCGAGGCUCAACCUCGGGUCUGCAGUCGAUACGAGCAAACUAGAGUGUUGCAGGGGAGACUGGAAUUCCUGGUGUAGCGGUGAAAUGCGUAGAGAUCCGGAAGAACACCGGAGGCGAAGGCGGCUUGCUGGGCUGCGGUCGUGACGCUGAGGCGCGAAAGCGUGGGGAGCAAACAGG
rnacentral:rRNA from 1 species